GUUAUGCCAUCAAACCCCAUAAAGAGGAUAUUCUGGUUAUGUCACGUAUUCAUCCGCCUAUAAAAAUGUGGUUAAUGACAUUUACUGUCCACACAGGAAAAGUUGUGCCGAGCAGCAACCAAAUCCACAGAAGGAUUAAUGAUGAGCAUCAAUUAUGCAAAUGGGAACCUGGUAACUGACUUUGGGGUCAAAGGCCGGUUACAGCCUAUCAGAUCUAGAGGAGGGGUAUUUAGGCCCAGUUCUCAUCCUGCUCAGUGCCCUGUUGUGGUUUCCCUUGUGGUUGUCCGAGAGCGUGUUAUUGAUUCUGGUAAUUCUGGUUAUUUGACUUUGGCAUUGUUUUUGAUUUCCCUGUUUUCUGGCAUCCCUGACUCCUGGCUUUUCCUUAUCGUUGUGUCUUUUUCUGUUUCCCUUGACCUCGGCUAUUCCUGACUAUUCUUUGGUAUGUUAGUUCGGCCAUUCUAAGGUCCGGUAUAUGUUACCUAUCAGUCCUCUGUGUUAUACAAUACCACGUGCUGGAUCAUUCUGUAAUCCUGACAGGUUAACUCUAAAUCCUUUAGGGGUUGCGGUUUGUGCAAGGCCUGCACUACAGCACUGAUUGAGAAAACUGAUGAGUUUUCUAGUAUGGUGACGAGAGAGGUAUUUAAGGUCAAAACAGAGAUAGGAUGCCACAUGGACUUUGUAGUCUAUUUACUGAGAUGUCUGUGUGGCAAACAAUAUGUAGGCCGAACUAAGAGAGCCCUCAAGGUUCGAUUAAUGGAACAUCUAAGUAAUAUUAAAAAGAAACUCACCACUCACUCUGUACCAGCCCAUUGUGCCAACUGCUCUUUAUUUACUUUUAGGGAUUUUAAAUGUAUGGGUAUUAAAAAGGGUUUUACCUCAUUGGCGUGGAGGUGAUAGGGUGAAAAAAUUGUCUAAAAGAGAGACAUUUUGGAUACACAAAUUGAAGACUUUGGAACCUAGGGGUCGCAAUAUAGGUAUUGAUUUGGUUUGUUUUUUGGAUUAAUGUUUUUUUCCCUGUUAUAUUUUAUUUUUGGUUAUGAAAAUAUGUAUUGUCACCUCUCCAUCUUUCAUGGUUCUCUACUACAAUACAUGUAGCUCUCCUGAGAAGUUAUAUUGGGC